GAUGAACGCUGGCGGCGUGCCUAAUACAUGCAAGUCGAGCGAACAGACGAGGAGCUUGCUCCUCUGACGUUAGCGGCGGACGGGUGAGUAACACGUGGAUAACCUACCUAUAAGACUGGGAUAACUUCGGGAAACCGGAGCUAAUACCGGAUAAUAUAUUGAACCGCAUGGUUCAAUAGUGAAAGACGGUUUUGCUGUCACUUAUAGAUGGAUCCGCGCCGCAUUAGCUAGUUGGUAAGGUACCGGCUUACCAAGGCAACGAUGCGUAGCCGACCUGAGAGGGUGAUCGGCCGCGCGAGAACUGAGACACGGUCCAGACUCCUAAGGGAGGCAGCAGUAGGGAAUCUUCCGCAAUGGGCGAGAGCGUGGCGGAGCAACGCCGCGUGAGUGCUGAAGGUCUUCGGGUCGUAAAACUCUGUUAUUAGGGGAGAACAGAUGUGUAAGUAACUAUGCACGUCUUGACGGUACCUAAUCAGAAAGCCACGGCUAACUACGUG
rnacentral:rRNA from 1 species